UACGUAGGGCGCAAGCGUUGUCCGGAAUUAUUGGGCGUAAAGAGCUCGUAGGCGGCCUGUUACGUCUGCUGUGAAAUCCCGGGGCUUAACCCCGGGCGUGCAGUGGAUACGGGCAGGCUGGAGGCAGGCAGGGGAGAACGGAAUUCCCGGUGUAGCGGUGAAAUGCGCAGAUAUCGGGAGGCACACCGGUGGCGAAGGCGGUUCUCUGGGCCUGUACUGACGCUGAGGAGCGAAAGCGUGGGGAGCGAACAGG
rnacentral:rRNA from 1 species